ACAAAAUGUCUUAGGUACACGUUGAUACUUUCGACUUACUUGACACUUAUUGUUUUUGUUUUAGGACGAAAAAAAGAAAAUUCAUGUGAUUUAUUUGAUUCAGCGUUACCUACAAAUCAGUUAAAUGAGCUACUGUAUUUCCAGGAAGAAAUAGUUUGUUCAAGUCCUGAUGUUUCUGACACAGAUUCGAAUUAUACACCGCCUGUACAAAAUACUUCUUCUGAUGAAUCUUGUUUAUACAAUGACAAGACCUUGGAUCAAGCUUGCUCAUUUGGUAAUGUACCUCAUGCAUCUGAAGAGUUUCAUCAGGACACCUACUCAUUAUUAGAACCUAAGCUCUUGUCCCACAAAAACAUUGAGGAACCUUUAAAUUUAGAAACCUCAAUAAUCUGUAAUGAUAGAGGACUGAUACCAUGGACUGCAGAACAAAAAAAAAUUUGCACUACAUUUUUUAAAUUUCAUAUAAAAAACAAACAACCACCUAAAAGACAUGAAUGUGAGGCUCUUAAAGAGAAACACCGAGACCUCCUGAUCAAUAAGGAUUGGCUCAAAAUAAAAGUAUUUAUACAAAACACUUACACUAAGAAAUAGAACUGACAAGCGUUCUUUCAAAAUUCGUCCUUUACUCUCAGGUCUUAAUCGAUAUCGUUAUUUUUUUCAUUCUUACCGGGCGGUUUUAUAUGAUACAUAUUAUUAUUUAUUAGUUAUUAUUUUAUUUCUGGUACUUGAAAACUGGUACAUUUUGUAAUUUAGGUGUCCUGAUAAACAUGCUAAAACUCUCCGAGAAGGACGGGAGACUCGACGAAAUUCGACGACUCGUCACUUUUGCAUAAUUUUUAAUGUUAUCUUAAUUAACAACUGUACUAAUAAUAGAGACCAAAUACACGUUUAAUUUUGCAUUUUUGGGCUAAAUGGGCAAGAGACAGAAGCUCGCGACUGAUUUAAUUUAAGCAUAGUGAAUGUGACCAUAAACAUAUUUUGUAACGUUGUAGACGUUUUUGUUAUAUUUUAGGUUAUUUUGGUAUGUUUUAAAUGAAUGUAAGUACAUGAUUACAUAAUUAUGUUGUGUAUCUGAUUUGAAUGACUGUUAUUAUUUAAGUAAUUAAUAUUGUGCCUCAUCUUUUAAUAAGAGUCCGCGAUAAAAACAACAGCUACGUAGAUCAUGACUGAUUUGUUACUUUAUAAUUUUUAUUAUAAUUAAUACUUAGUGACCUGUACUGUACGCCUACCGCAAUUGUUUUAGUUAUUUAGCAAUGUUUUUAUUUGAUUUUGAAAAUAAAUUACACAACACUGCUCUUAUUUAUUAAUUAAAAUAAAUAAGAGCAUUGUUGUGUAAUUUAUUUUAUUUAUUUUUGAGAUUUUGUACUGAUAUGUGUGAUAUGUGAUUGUUCAUAUUCCUGAGCGUUUUCUAAGCGUUUUUGUUCUAUUGUACUUACUUCAUUUAUAUAAAUAAAACUUCAUUUAUAUAAAAAAAAA